UGUAUGAAGUUGGAAUCGCUAGUAAUCGCGGAUCAGCAUGCCGCGGUGAAUACGUUCCCGGGCCUUGUACACACCGCCCGUCACACCAUGAGAGUCGGGAACACCCGAAGUCCGUAGUCUAACUUUCACGAGAGGACGCGGCCGAAGGUGGGUUCGAUAAUUGGGGUGAAGUCGUAACAAGGUACC
rnacentral:rRNA from 1 species